rnacentral:lncRNA from 1 species
UGAUGGACCUAAGCUGAAUGUAACCUCAACUGUGAAUAGAGCCAGAACUGUGUAGAACUUCCAGUCAUCUCCAUAGAAAUACAGAAUGCAUAGAACAUACAAGGGUAAGAAGAUGAAUCAUGUGGAAAGAUAUCCCGGCCCGCGGGAUCGUCGAAGCAGGCCCUGGAGGAGGGAGUGGGAAUUUGGGGGACAAGAGACACGAGAAAUGGAGACAAGACAGUGCUCUGAUCAAGUCUCGUUUAAUGGCGGUAAUGCAAUGCCUUAUAUACACUUGGAGGGGAAGGGGUUGGGCCAGAGGCGGAGAUGAUCUCAUCGCGGAGGGUGUGGCUAGGUAGGUAUUGGUUUCUCUGGUCGGAGGUCAUGUUGUGCCUGCGCUGUCAGUUGGUAAUUUUCCCGGGCGCAGGAUGGUGCCUGCGCUACAAAGUAACAAUUUUCGCGGCGCGGGGGAAAAACAGGUGAAGAAAAAACAGGAAGAGCACCAUCUUUUAUGAGAUGGUGUCCUGGGUAGCUGAACUGUGGAAAGCAAAACCGUGGAUAAGGGGGAACUACUAUAUUGAAAAAUGUGCAAAAUAGAGAAGAUUUCAUUGAAGAAGUCUGCUGUUUUUGGAAUGGGAAAUUAAGAUAAAAAUUGAAGCUCUCAUCUUCUAUAACAUCAUGGGUACUUUUGAGGCAUAACUGGAACAGUUAUCUACUGUGAUUCUUGCUGGGACCAAUAACCUUCUACAGAUACCAGCAUCAGCUCCCAUGAAAGGCAAAGAGCUGACAAGUAUAUGGACUGCACCUCCACAUUAAGCUACCAGGAGAAACUUCCAAGUUACCCUCUUGUCACCUAUGCCCCAAAGGUGAACACUGUAAACUGCUACAGCAUGCAAUUUAGAUCUAAACCUCAAGAUUCAACUGGAUUUUCAUUGAAAUUCACCACGAUCCCCUCUGCAGCUGUGGUCUCAAAAUACCAUUUCUGCAUUUAUUUUAGCUCAUGGAAUAACUCUGCUGAGAAACCACAGAGUCAAUCAGACUCAAAAUGCUUAAAAUCCUUCCUGCUUGGAGUUUUCCGUCUUCACAUCAAAGCAUUUCAUGCCCGUCAGCAACUUUUUAAUGCAUUUGCUCCUCAUUUGCACAAUUUCCAUUUAAAGACGUUCCUUGGCUGA